GUGGAGGGGCAGGGGCUGUUAAGGGGGUGACAUGAGCUGGAGAGGGCUGGCAAAGGAGAUGGAGAUGGGGUGGAGGAGCUAGAGAUGGGGAGAAUGAGCUGAAGGGGGAGGAGCUGGAGUAGGAGGGGGAUAGGAGCUCGUGUGGGAGGAGGGACAGGAGCUGGAGGGGGGAACAGGAGAGACAGGUACUGAGAGAGGGGGCACAUGGG